rnacentral:rRNA from 1 species
GGGGAAUAUUGGGCAAUGGGCGCAAGCCUGACCCAGCAACGCCGCGUGAAGGAAGAAGGCUUUCGGGUUGUAAACUUCUUUUAAGUGGGAAGAGCAGAAGACGGUACCACUUGAAUAAGCCACGGCUAACUACGUGCCAGCAGCCGCGGUAAUACGUAGGUGGCAAGCGUUGUCCGGAUUUACUGGGUGUAAAGGGCGUGCAGCCGGGCAUGCAAGUCAGAUGUGAAAUCUCAGGGCUUAACCCUGAAACUGCAUUUGAAACUGUAUGUCUUGAGUGCCGGAGAGGUAAUCGGAAUUCCUUGUGUAGCGGUGAAAUGCGUAGAUAUAAGGAAGAACACCAGUGGCGAAGGCGGAUUACUGGACGGUAACUGACGGUGAGGCGCGAAAGCGUGGGGAGCGAACAGGAUUAGAUACCCUGGUAGUCCACGCUGUAAACGAUGGAUACUAGGUGUGCGGGGACUGACCCCCUGCGUGCCGCAGUUAACACAAUAAGUAUCCCACCUGGGGAGUACGAUCGCAAGGUUGAAACUCAAAGGAAUUGACGGGGGCCCGCACAAGCGGUGGAUUAUGUGGUUUAAUUCGAAGCAACGCGAAGAACCUUACCAGGUCUUGACAUCCUGCUAACGAAGUAGAGAUACAUUAGGUGCCCUUCGGGGAAAGCAGAGACAGGUGGUGCAUGGUUGUCGUCAGCUCGUGUCGUGAGAUGUUGGGUUAAGUCCCGCAACGAGCGCAACCCCUAUUGUUAGUUGCUACGCAAGAGCACUCUAGCGAGACUGCCGUUGACAAAACGGAGGAAGGUGGGGACGACGUCAAAUCAUCAUGCCCCUUAUGACCUGGGCUACACACGUAAUACAAUGGCGGUCAACAAAGGGAUGCAAAGCCGCGAGGCAGAGCGAACCCCAAAAAGCCGUCCCAGUUCGGAUCGCAGGCUGCAACCCGCCUGCGUGAAGUCGGAAUCGCUAGUAAUCGUGGGUCAGCAUACCACGGUGAAUACGUUCCCG